AACCCAUUAUGAGGGCAUUGGUUUGUGUAGCUUCUAAAUCUCUUAUAAGCUUCACCAAAACUCUCAUUGCUAUGUUGAGUGAAGCUGGAGAUCUGGUUUCUCAGUUU
rfam:Eutrema salsugineum unplaced genomic scaffold scaffold_3, whole genome shotgun sequence.